UACGUAGGGUGCGAGCGUUAAUCGGAAUUACUGGGCGUAAAGCGUGCGCAGGCGGUUCGUUGUGUCGGCGGUGAAAGCCCCGGGCUUAACCUGGGAAUGGCCGUCGAAACUGGCGAACUGGAGUGUGGCAGAGGGGGGUGGAAUUCCGCGUGUAGCAGUGAAAUGCGUAGAUAUCGGGAGGAACACCUGUGGCGAAAGCGGCGCACUGGACCACAACUGACGCUGAGGCGCGAAAGCUAGGGGAGCAAACAGG
rnacentral:rRNA from 1 species